UACGUAGGGUGCGAGCGUUAAUCGGAAUUACUGGGCGUAAAGCGUGCGCAGGCGGUUGUGCAAGACAGAUGUGAAAUCCCCGGGCUUAACCUGGGAAUUGCAUUUGUGACUGCACGGCUAGAGUGUGUCAGAGGGAGGUAGAAUUCCACGUGUAGCAGUGAAAUGCGUAGAUAUGUGGAGGAAUACCGAUGGCGAAGGCAGCCUCCUGGGAGUAACACUGACGCUCAUGCACGAAAGCGUGGGGAGCAAACAGG
rnacentral:rRNA from 1 species